UCCCAGACUCCUACGGGAGGCAGCAGUGGGGAAUAUUGCACAAUGGGGGAAACCCUGAUGCAGCAACGCCGCGUGAGUGAAGAAGUAUUUCGGUAUGUAAAGCUCUAUCAGCAGGGAAGAAGAAAGACGGUACCUGACUAAGAAGCCCCGGCUAACUACGUGCCAGCAGCCGCGGUAAUACGUAGGGGGCGAGCGUUAUCCGGAUUUACUGGGUGUAAAGGGGGCGCAGACGGCGAUGCAAGCCAGGAGUGAAAGCCCGGGGCCCAACCCCGGGACUGCUCUUGGAACUGCGUGGCUAGAGUGCAGGAGGGGCAGGCGGAAUUCCUGGUGUAGCGGUGAAAUGCGUAGAUAUCAGGAGGAACACCGGUGGCGAAGGCGGCCUGCUGGACUGCAACUGACGUUGAGGCCCGAAAGCGUGGGGAGCAAACAGGAUUAGAUACCCUCGUA
rnacentral:rRNA from 1 species